rnacentral:rRNA from 1 species
GCGUGAGCGAUGAAGGCCUUAGGGUCGUAAAACUCUUUCGCCUGCGAUGAUAAUGACAGUAGCAGGUAAAGAAACCCCGGCUAACUCCGUGCCAGCAGCCGCGGUAAUACGGAGGGGGUUAGCGUUGUUCGGAAUUACUGGGCGUAAAGCGCGCGUAGGCGGAUUGGAAAGUUAGAGGUGAAAUCCCGGGGCUCAACCCCGGAACGGCCUUUAAAACUCCCAGUCUAGAGUUCGAGAGAGGUGAGUGGAAUUCCAAGUGUAGAGGUGAAAUUCGU